rnacentral:rRNA from 1 species
GAUCCUGGCUCAGGAUGAGCGCUGGCGGCGUGCUUAACACAUGCAAGUCGAGCGAAGCGGUUUAAAUGAGACUUCGGCGGAUUUUAAACUGACUGAGCGGCGGACGGGUGAGUAACGCGUGGAUAACCUGCCUCACACAGGGGGAUAACAGUUAGAAAUGACUGCUAAUACCGCAUAAGCGCACGGCAUCGCAUGAUGCAGUGUGAAAAACUCCGGUGGU